AACGCGAAGAACCUUACCUGGGCUUGAACCGCACAGGACCAGCUUGAGAAAUCAGGCCUUCCCGCAAGGGACCUGUGUAGAGGUGCUGCAUGGCUGUCGUCAGCUCGUGCCGUGAGGUGUUGGGUUAAGUCCCUUAACGAGCGCAACCCUUGCCUCUAAUUGCCAGCGAGUAAUGUCGGGAACUUUAGAGGGACUGCCAGUGACAAACUGGAGGAAGGUGGGAAUGACGUCAAGUCAUCAUGGCCCUUAUGAGCAGGGCUACACACGUAAUACAAUGGGACAUACAAAGGGAAGCCAACCCGCGAGGGGGAGCGAAUCUCAAAAAAUGUCUCGUAGUCCGGAUUGGAGUCUGCAACUCGACUCCAUGAAGCUGGAAUCGCUAGUAAUCGUGGAUCAGAAUGCCGCGGUGAAUACGUUCCCGGGCCUUGUACACACCGACGCGUA
rnacentral:rRNA from 1 species